UACAGAGGGUGCAAGCGUUAAUCGGAAUUACUGGGCGUAAAGCGUGCGUAGACGGUUAUGUAAGUCGGGUGUGAAAGCCCCGGGCUCAACCUGGGAAUGCCAUUCGAGACUGCAUAGCUAGGGUGCGGAAGAGGGAAGCGGAAUUUCCGGUGCAGCGGUGAAAUGCGUAGAUAUCGGAAGGAACACCAGUGGCGAAAGCGGCUUCCUGGUCCAGCACCGACGUUCAGGCACGAAAGCGUGGGGAGCAAACAGG
rnacentral:rRNA from 1 species